rnacentral:misc_RNA from 1 species
UUCAUUAUUAAUGAUAUGAUUUCUGAUUUCAGCCCAGACAAAGUUAUGUUUCUGGAUUAUCAUCUCACUGAGGACAGCUAAACUCAUCUGAUCACUACCAAGAACUAAAAUGUGGCAGCUUAAGUACAGCACAGAUGAAGGUGUGUUUUCUGGAUUAUCAUCUCACUGAGGACAGCUGACAACAUAUGGCAGUUUCAGCACAGCCCAGAUGAAAGUGUGUUUUCUGGAUUAUCAUCUCACUAAGGACAGCUGAACUCAUCUGAUCACUGUCAAGAACUACAACAUAAGGCAGUUUCAGCACAGCCCAGAUGAAGUUAUAUUUCUGGAUUAUUAUCUCACUGAGGACUGCGAAACUCAUCUGAUCACCUUCCAGAUUGAACUACAACAUGGCAGCUUCAGCACAGGUCAGUGCAACAAUGAUAUAACUAUACUGGUGAUUCUCUUCAGUCCCCCUUUUUACACCACCACUAUACAUAUGUGACCCAUCAUGACAAAAUCAGGGAUAAUUUUGAUAUUUAUAUAUCUUUAAAAACUAAAAGAUGUCCUCUGUAAAAUGAUGUAAAUAAUAUUUCUGUACCUUUUAAAUUGUUUAAGUUAUUGAGGUUUAUAAUCGAAGGUAUUAGUGGUAGCCAUUUUGAGAGAACGGCCAUUAAAAAUCCACUUGUUUCUU